GCAGCCGCCGCGGGAAUACGGAGGGUGCAAGCGUUAAUCGGAAUUACUGGGCGUAAAGCGCACGCAGGCGGUCUGUCAAGUCAGAUGUGAAAUCCCCGGGCUUAACCUGGGAACUGCAUUUGAAACUGGCAGGCUAGAGUCUUGUAGAGGGGGGUAGAAUUCCAGGUGUAGCGGUGAAAUGCGUAGAGAUCUGGAGGAAUACCGGUGGCGAAGGCGGCCCCCUGGACAAAGACUGACGCUCAGGUGCGAAAGCGUGGGGAGCAAACAGGAUUAGAUACCCGCGUAGUCCCUGUCUCUUAUAC
rnacentral:rRNA from 1 species